UACGAAGGGGGCUAGCGUUGCUCGGAAUGACUGGGCGUAAAGGGCGCGUAGGCGGAUGGCACAGUCAGAUGUGAAAUUCCCGGGCUUAACCUGGGGGCUGCAUUUGAUACGUGUUGUCUUGAGUUCGGAAGAGGGUCGUGGAAUUCCCAGUGUAGAGGUGAAAUUCGUAGAUAUUGGGAAGAACACCAGUGGCGAAGGCGGCUUUCUGGUCUGUAACUGACGCUGAGGCGCGAAAGCGUGGGGAGCAAACAGG
rnacentral:rRNA from 1 species